rnacentral:rRNA from 1 species
UUGAACGCUGGCGGCAUGCUUUACACAUGCAAGUCGAACGGUAACAGGCCUUCGGGUGCUGACGAGUGGCGAACGGGUGAGUAAUGCAUCGGAACGUGCCCAGAGGUUGGGGAUAACGCAGCGAAAGCUGUGCUAAUACCGCAUGUGAUCUGAGGAUGAAAGCGGGGGACCAGGCAGCAAUGUUUGGCCUCGCGCCUUUGGAGCGGCCGAUGUCAGAUUCGGUAGUUGGUGGGGUAAAGGCCUACCAAGCCGACGAUCUGUAGCUGGUCUGAGAGGACGACCAGCCACACUGUGACUGAGACACGGCCCAGACUCCUACGGGAGGCAGCAGUGGGGAAUUUUGGACAAUGGGCGCAAGCCUGAUCCAGCAAUGCCGCGUGCGGGAAGAAGGCCUUCGGGUUGUAAACCGCUUUUGUACGGAACGAAAAGGCUCUGGCUAAUACCUGGGGCUGAUGACGGUACCGUAAGAAUAAGCACCGGCUAACUACGUG